rnacentral:lncRNA from 1 species
UUAAAGCAGGGACAGUCUUUACUACGUAAAUCAUUCAAGCAAAAAUCAAUCAUUAUGAAGAGCGGACGUCUUAGAAAUGACCCAUCACUUAUUAUGAAGCGCGGACGUCUUUGAAAACACCAUUGAUUAAAACUAUAACAUACAAUGAUAAUAAUGUAAUGCUACAUAACUUAAAAUAAAAAAGUUUAAGGUAAAAAUUAAAGCAAUACUUACAAGUAGAUUAUUUUAAAAGUCGUCAGGACAGUCUACAGUCAAAAAUAUCUUUCAAUUGCUGAAGCUUUCACAUGGAUACGCAAAGAUUUUACUAAUGUUAGUAACCAAUGCGUGCAUUUCAC